rnacentral:rRNA from 1 species
UACGAAGGGUGCAAACGUUGCUCGGAAUUAUUGGGCGUAAAGCGCACGUAGGCGGCCUUGUAAGUCGGAUGUGAAAUCCCUCGGCUUAACCGGGGAACUGCGUCCGAUACUGGUUGGCUUGAGUUUGGGAGAGGGAUGCGGAAUUCCAGGUGUAGCGGUGAAAUGCGUAGAUAUCUGGAGGAACACCGGUGGCGAAGGCGGCAUCCUGGACCAAUACUGACGCUGAGGAGCGAAAGCCAGGGGAGCAAACGGG